AAAACAGCAAAGGUGUUUUUCAGACCUGACGGAUCUGCUGUGUAGACCCUUCAGGAUCCUCCUGUAUUGGUGGAACAGGCUGUUCAGCACUGCAUGCAUUUACACCAGAGUCUUGGGCACAAGCACUCUGAAAAGGAAUCUUCUCAGAGGAGCUGCAGAUGAACACUGAAUAUAAAAAGAAAAAGAAAAACAUAUAUUUCAACUAACUUUACAGUAAUUCAGGUAAAUGAAUUAGGUCAAAUAUACCAUUGUUAAUUGUGUGGUAUUAAAGGAAAAAUCUACUCUGAAUGGCUUACAUAGCAAUAUUUAUAAUCAACAUAUGAUGUUCAGUUGUGAGAAAGAUUUUGUUUAUGAUUAAAAUCUGAAAUGACUUUUUCAGUUUAUACAAGCUGUGCUGUUUUCACUUUGGUUUACGGUUGCCCCAUCCUGAUUUCUUCUGCUUUUGAGUAUCUCUCAUACUAAAUAGUUUAAGAUCUUCAAAUGAAAUGCAGCAUAAAACAAAGGCAACCGGAGUAAACACGCAAUACAGUUUUUAUUAUUAGUCUUUUUAUUGAAGCAAAAAAAAAGUUUUCCAACACCUAUCACCCAUGUGAAAAACUAAUUGCCCCCUUAAACUUAAAAUCUGGUUGUGCCACCUUUUGGCUUUCAAGCAUAAACUGCCCAUUUAAGGUUCUGCCACAGCAUCUCAAUUGGGUUCAAGUCAGGACUCUGACUACACUACUCCAAAACUUUAAUUUAAUUUUUUUCAAAGUCAUUCAGAAGUGGACUCUUAUGUUUGGAUUAUUGUCUUGCUGCAUGAUCCAGUUGCACUUAAGUUUCAACUUACGGACUGAAGACCGGACAUUCUCCUUUAGGAUUUUCUGGUAGAGAACAGAAUUCAUGUUUCCCUCAAUUACUGCAAGUUGUCCAGGCCCUGAAGCAGCAAAACAUCCCCACAACAUCACACUCCCACCACUAUGCUUGACUGUAGGUAUAAUGUUCUUUUUGUGGAAUUCUGUGUUUGGUUUAUGCCAGAUGUAACAGGACCCCUGUCUUCCAAACAGUUCUAAAUUCGACUCAUCAGUCCACAGAACAUUCUCACAAAAGCUCUGAGGAUCAUCAAGGUGUGUUUUGGCAAAAUUCAGAUGAGCCUUAAUGUUCUUCUGGGUUAGAAGUUGUUUUCACCUUGCCAUGGUUGCCAUUUUUGCCCAGUGUUAUCCUUGAUGUUGUCCUUGGCUCUUUUGUGACUUGCUGGAUGAGUCGUCACUGUGCUCUUAGAGGAAUUUGGGAAGGUCAGCCAUUUCUGGGAAGGUUCGCUACCGUGCCGAGUUUUUCCAUUUGGAGAUAUUGGCUUUCAUUGUGGUUCUUUGGAGUACCAGAACCUUUGAAAUAACUUUGUAACCCUUCCUGAUGAAUUUCAAUCACCUCAUCAUUUCUGGAAUUUGGCAUAGUAUUACUGGGCUGUCGAUGUCCCUCUGACUGCGGGAGAGCUCGAUGCGGAUAACCGCACAGCUGUCGGCCACACGCCGGUUAAUUUCCUCCGUGGCUGCUUUGGCCAGAAUCUCCAUGACGGACAACAACUGGUCUUGGAAAGUGUACUGAGCCAUUUUGGGCUUUUCUAACGUGCCUCCGAAUCUCUGUACGCAGUUACGUGUCGAUAUGUCCACUUUAUAAAACACUCCUUUUGCGAAAUAAACUGUAACAUGUCACUAUACACGCCUGUGAAUGCUCGCUUUAAACAUACGCAGAAUUUUAC
ensembl:lncRNA